rnacentral:lncRNA from 1 species
CAAGUAAAAAAAAGAACUUCCUGUUACUAUUGUGACUCACAUACCUUGAAUAUCUUCAACAGAGUUCCAUUCAUCAUCAGCCAACUGAAGAAUGCAAAAUAAAAGUCAUGUGACCUCCAAAAACCCACAGGGAUUACCCAUGGGGUUCACACAGACAUCCGUAUGGUAUCACAUGGUGAAUGUUCUACUGACCUGUGGGCUGAUAUUCAGAGUCAAGAGUUUGAUGCACAUUUUGAAAGAAAGAAAGAAAGAAAAAGACGCAGAAGGAAAAAAAAGACCUCGUGUCGAGGGGGGGCGUGACUACCGUGGUCAUAAGAGCGGUCAUCGGCUCUGCUCUGCGGGUCAAACAACAGCUCAGCACGGGAGGAAAGAGGCCGAGGGGUCCCGCUACUCACCUCCACACCAAACAGAUUGCUGAUACUCUCCUCGUGCUCCAAUGUGACAGCGAGCCAACGUCUCCCUGUGUUUGCUGACUAUUAUCACUUGAUGCCAGUUGUCAUCACCCAGUCCUGUGAUCUGAGUCCAUGUGACCUGCUGCACGGGGAGACUUCAUGCACAUCUAACCACAGUGCAGAGGAUUAGUUUCUCUCAAAGGAAACCUGUGAGCAUUUUAUCAUUUACAGAACAAUAUAUGGCAUUAUAAACUAUGUCGUGUUUAUUAUAAAUCCAAACAAUUCUCAUCAAUUGGUGUCCUUGUGCUUAGAGACGUUUCUGGCUAUAUGUGGACGACGCAAGCAUGUUUUUGAUUUGUUCUCCACAUUUUAAAGCUUAUUUAUUUUUGAUCAGAUAAAAACAGUAUAGGCCUCAUAGAUCAUUUGUUUGAAAAAAAAAAAAAGGAUAUAAAAGGUUGGAGUUGCAGCUCGAAAGUUUGUUUUUUUUUAUUUCCACUGUAAACACUCUCUUGUUGACGUUGUUGAAAAAGUUUUGUAAUUUGAAAAGUAGGAACAAUUCAUUUAAAGUGGCAAAUAAUGGACAUGACAAAUUGUGAAUGUGGUUAAAUUGGCAAAAAUUUGCAUGAAAUAUGAUUUAAAGUGGCAAUAAUGGGUCAACAUAUGCAACAUUAGGUGGAAUAAAUGGUGGAAAGGGUUUCUAAGUGUCGAAAAU